GACGAACGCUGGCGGCGUGCGUAACACAUGCAAGUCGAACGCUGAAGCCCUUUCGGGGGUGGAUGAGUGGCGAACGGGUGAGUAACACGUGGGUAAUCUGCCCUGCACUCUGGGAUAAGCCUUGGAAACGGGGUCUAAUACCGGAUAGGACACAUCGCCGCAUGGUGUGUGUGUGGAAAUUUCCGGCGGUGCAGGUUGAGCCCGCGGCCUAUCAGCUUGUUGGUGGGGUGAUGGCCUACCAAGGCGACGACGGGUAGCCGGCCUGAGAGGGUGACCGGCCACACUGGGAUUGAGACACGGCGCAGACUCCUACGGGAGGCAGCAGUGGGGAAUCUUGCGCAAUGGGCGAAAGCCUGACGCAGCAACGCCGCGUGGGGGAUGACGGCCUUCGGGUUGUAAACCUCUUUCGACCGGGACGAAGGGUGACUGACGGUACCGGUAGAAGAAGCACCGGCUAACUACGUGCCAGCCGCCGCGGUAA
rnacentral:rRNA from 1 species